CCUACGGGUGGCAGCAGUGGGGAAUAUUGGGCAAUGGGCGCAAGCCUGACCCAGCAACGCCGCGUGAAGGAAGAAGGCUUUCGGGUUGUAAACUUCUUUUAAGAGGGAAGAGCAGAAGACGGUACCUCUUGAAUAAGCCACGGCUAACUACGUGCCAGCAGCCGCGGUAAUACGUAGGUGGCAAGCGUUGUCCGGAAUUACUGGGUGUAAAGGGCGUGCAGCCGGGAAGACAAGUCAGAUGUGAAAGCCCGCGGCUCAACCGCGGAACUGCCUUUGAAACUGUUUUUCUGGAGUACCGGAGAGGACAUCGGAAUUCCUGGUGUAGCGGUGAAAUGCGUAGAUAUAAGGAAGAACACCAGUGGCGAAGGCGGAUGACUGGACGGCAACUGACGGUGAGGCGCGAAAGCGUGGGGAGCAAACAGGAUUAGAUACCCCUGUAGUC
rnacentral:rRNA from 1 species